rnacentral:lncRNA from 1 species
UGAAUCCCUUGUGUAAACAAGGAUGAGCUUCAAGGGUAAAGAAUCACUUAAUCUUUACUUCUCUUUAAUGUUGUUAAAGAGUUUUAUUUUGGUUCACCAUAUACUAGGCUUUGAAAGUCAUGGGUUUUAUGAAUUGUUUUUGGAUGCAUGCCUACUUUAAAGUGUUAAUAGCUUGCAUGUGUAUUCAAAUGUUCAUACUUGUUCUUAGCUAGGACAAAUUUUUUCCUUCAGUAUACAUAUCCUAAACGUUCCUGAUCAUAGGAUUGCCAAUUGGGCGUUGACAGUCCGUUAAGAUCAGUACGUAUUGUGUCUUCUCUCAGGGAGAGUGACUAGUCUCGAGUCAUUGGUGUGUGUGACAUCAAGACAAGUACGUAGGUGCUCAAUACAGAAUGAGUUCACUGAACACGAUCAACGAAGAGUUCUCAUAUUCAUGUCACAUGAGAACUCAUGGUUGGGAUAAUGCAAAGUAAUCCUUUGACCUGAGGCAUCAUAGUUGUCUUGUGGUUAAGUCCUUGAUCUUUGAUUAUGUCAAAGUCAC